GACGAACGCUGGCGGCGCGCUUAACACAUGCAAGUCGAGCGAUGAAACUUUAACAGAACCCUUCGGGGCGAAGAUAAAGUGGAUUAGCGGCGGACGGGUGAGUAACACGUGAGUAACCUGCCUUAGACAUUGGGAUAGCCUCGGGAAACCGGGAUUAAUACCAAAUAAAAUCAUAAUGACACAUGUCAUAACGAUCAAAACUCCGGUGGUCUAAGAUGGACUCGCGUCCCAUUAGCUAGUUGGCAGAGUAAAAGCCUACCAAGGCGACGAUGGGUAGCCGGCCUGAGAGGGUGAACGGCCACAUUGGAACUGAGAAACGGUCCAAACUCCUACGGGAGGCAGCAGUGGGGAAUAUUGCACAAUGGAGGGAACUCUGAUGCAGCGACGCCGCGUGAACGAAGAAGGCUUUCGAGUCGUAAAGUUCUUUUAUAUGGGAAGAUAAUGACGGUACCAUAAGAAAAAGCCCCGGCUAACUACGUG
rnacentral:rRNA from 1 species